CAGUUCCUUAUAUGUCUCUUAUACAUGAGUUCUUUUUUGAGUGUAUCUUAUCCCUGUAUAAGAAACACUCAAAAAAGAACUCAUGUAUAUGAGACAUAUAAGGAACGUAGAC
rnacentral:pre_miRNA from 1 species